CCAACGGCCCUCUUUAGGGCCACAAUUUGAUGAGUCAUGCUACCU
rfam:Onchocerca volvulus assembly O_volvulus_Cameroon_v3 genomic scaffold, OVOC_OM3